rnacentral:rRNA from 1 species
CCUUACCUGGCCUUGACAUACUAAGAACUUUCCAGAGAUGGAUUGGUGCCUUCGGGAACUUAGAUACAGGUGCUGCAUGGCUGUCGUCAGCUCGUGUCGUGAGAUGUUGGGUUAAGUCCCGCAACGAGCGCAACCCUUUUCCUUAUUUGCCAGCGGGUUAAGCCGGGAACUUUAAGGAUACUGCCAGUGACAAACUGGAGGAAGGCGGGGACGACGUCAAGUCAUCAUGGCCCUUACGGCCAGGGCUACGCACGUGCUACAAUGGUCGGUACAAAGGGUUGCUACCUCGCGAGAGGAUGCUAAUCUCAAAAAGCCGAUCGUAGUCCGGAUCGCAGUCUGCAACUCGACUGCGUGAAGUCGGAAUCGCUAGUAAUCGCGGAUCAGAAUGCCGCGGUGAAUACGUUCCCGGGCCUUGUACACACCGCCCGUCACACCAUGGGAGUUUGUUGCACCAGAAGUAGGUAGUCUAACCGCAAGGAGGACGCUUACCACGGUGUGGCCGAUGACUGGGGUGAAGUCGUAACAAGGUAGGCGUAGAUGA